rnacentral:ncRNA from 1 species
CCCAAGUACCGGGGGCGCUGCAAAGCUGAGACGUACCCUUUGAACCUGAACCAGAUAAUGCUGGCGGAGGGAGGUCUUGCGUUCAUGCA